rnacentral:misc_RNA from 1 species
GAUGAAGAACGCAGCGAAAUGCGAUAAGUAAUGUGAAUUGCAGAAUUCAGUGAAUCAUCGAAUCUUUGAACGCACCUUGCGCUCCUUGGUAUUCUGAGGAGCAUGCCUGUUUGAGUGUCAUUUAAUUCUCAAACUUUACCUAGUUUGCAAAAACUAGAUCAGGCUUGGAGUCUGGAAGUUGCUGGCUUUUUUUUUAAGCUAGCUCUUCUAAAAUAUAUUAGCAGAAUUAUUGCUACUCAAUAUGGUAUGAUAAUUAUCUAUACCGUUGAAAGUAAGCUUUCUGAUUUUGCUUCUAAUUGUCUACCAAGACAACCUUGAUACCUUUGACCUCAAAUCAGGUAGGACUACCCGCUGAACUUAAGCAUAUCAAUAAGCGGAGGA